GAUAUUUUGAAGAGUUGUGUGAGCCAUUCUAACCCCCAAAUCCGACCACUCUCCCUCCCUCAUUCACUCUCAUCUGAUUUUUGAAGACUCUCUCAAGUGUUCUCUCCAUUUUCAACCCCAAGAACACCAAAGAAACUUGGAGGCUAAGUCUUGGUCUAGGAAGUAUUUUCCCUAAGUUGGUUAGGGUUUUUGAAAGGUUUUGGAGGAGCCAAAGCUAAUAGGAAGGUCCAAACCUUAAGCAAGAACACCAAAGAGGUAAGGGCAAGGGCAGGGCAGAGCAGUGAGCGCUGGAGUCUUCCUUGCAAAUGUACAUGUGGACCGACCUUUUGGGAAGCCUUUUUAUUUUUGGAAAUGUUGUGUAAUUUUCCUAAACUAGGCUCACUCUAAUCUUUGUAAAACAUGUUUGUAACUAAAUGUUAAGUAUGGCCAUACGACUUUUUAAAAAGUUUUUUUUUCUAUGGGUUUUUGAGACAUUUUGUUAAAUGAAAACAUUUAUA